GAAAUAAGCAGAGGUCCAGAAACAGGGCUACCCACCAAUCGCGUGGUGACAGAGGAGAGAGGGUCCUAAGGACAGAUGAGGAUGUUCUUGAUUUUGUACUCCAAGUAAAUGUAUUUAAGAAUGGUUACCCCAACCUCUGAGAAAUCUGAAAGUGGCAGCUGGAAAUGCCAGGAGAACACAUGGCAACGCUGAAUUGACAGAGUUCAAACACCAAAGGGGCAUUUGAGAACUGGAGCUGCCCGAUGGCAAGAGGGCACUUGUAUCAGAAGCUUCACUGCACAGGCCUACAGUAAAUGGUGCCUUGACAUCAAAUGAGUUGGUUGGCUAGUUCCUUCCCCAUGAAAUUGUUAUUUUAAACCCCAAACUACAUGGCAUAAUUUCCAGUCUGCUGACUGAAAAUCAGAAUGGAGCAUAACUAUUUUCCUUGCAGAAAAAGGCUGCCCAGGGAUGUACUGGAGAUGAUCAGGAGAGACAUGCUUUUCUCCUUCAAACCUUUUGCCUACUUUGUAUUUCCAGUUUUCACAGCCCACCUUUUUCUGAGACCACACACAGAGACUACACUGAUUGGAAUCAAGUUUAAAGGCAUGGCUUACAUUCAGACAGGAUAUGAGCAAAGUUACCCAGCAGCACCAGCGGGAACUGAGCCAAUGAAAACCCCCUGCCCUGCUGCAUUCUAAUUUCACAGGUGCCCCCGCCUUCCGGGCACAACAGGAAAUGAGUCAAGGCAAUGAUGAUAAUGAGAGGAAGAAAAAAAGUGCUUCCUCUGUACAAAAU
rnacentral:lncRNA from 1 species